rnacentral:rRNA from 1 species
AUGUGGGGUGGUGGCGGCGCCGACGGCGAGGUUUUGGGCGAUCGCGGCGGCGGAUUCCGGUCGACUGUUCUUCGGGCGGGUGGACGGGCGCAAGCGGGAAAGGAAAUGAAGUGGCGGCUGGGCUUUCAUGGGGGGCGGCUGGUUUUGGACCAGAUGCACCUCGUGAUGUAUAUUUGCACCGCGAGGUGUUGUAUUUUACAUCACGUGGAGGCCGUGGUCCAAUUUUUUUUUACAAAUGGACCGUCUAUUGGAGCAGCGUUUUUUGCACCAGACGGUCCAAAACUUAGGUAUUUUUACACAAAGACCAUCUAUUGGAGAUGCUCUAGUGGUUCUCUUGAGCGUUACAAAACUCGUCUUAUGACCCGUGGCUUUCAGCAGGAACAUGACUGUGACUACAAUGAGACAUUUGCUCCUAUGGCACGCAUGGCCACCCUUCACACACUUCUUAGUGUGAUAUUUGUUCGCCACUGGUCUGUCUCUCAGCUUGAUGCCAAGAAUGCAUUUCUUAAUGGUGAAUUGCAUGAGAAAGCCCCUCGUGUCUGGUCUGAGCGUUUUGUCUUAGUGGUGACCGCGGCUAGUUUUUGGCGAGUGCUCAUGAUCCUGCACUUUAUGUGCACCUUUAGCUCAUGGUCGAACUCUUAUGAUAUAUGUCGAUGCAUGAUCAUCACUGGCGACGACGUUGAGUGGAUUGCCUUUGUGAAUACUCGUCUUAGUGAAUAG